rnacentral:rRNA from 1 species
CACGGGGGUUGCGAGCGUUGUCCGGAAUUACUAGGCGUAAAGGGCAGGCAGGCGGAUCCAUAAGUUUAUCGUUUAAGGCGUCGGCUUAUCCGGCGUAGGGCGGUAGAUACUGUGGAUCUGGAAUGCGGUUGGGGAAGACAGAAUUCCUGGUGUAGCGGUGGAAUGCGCAGAGAUCAGGAGGAAUACCGAAGGCGAAGGCAGUCUUCCAAGCCGUUAUUGACGCUCAACUGCGAAGGUGUGGGUAUCAAACAGGAUUAGAUACCCUGGUAGUCCCU